AACUCUUAGCGGUGGAUCACUCGGCUCGUGCGUCGAUGAAGAACGCAGCUAGCUGCGAGAACUAAUGUGAAUUGCAGGACACAUUGAUCAUCGACCUUUGAACGCACCUUGCGGCCCGGGUUCCUCCCGGGGCCGCCUGUCUGAGAGUCG
ensembl:rRNA 5_8S_rRNA 5.8S ribosomal RNA